CUAAAUGGGCCUGAUGGGCUGUAG
rnacentral:siRNA from 1 species